rnacentral:tRNA from 1 species
UUCUAUUUUGUCAGAUUAAUGUGUUAGAUUUAGAAUUUAAUUAUGUAAAAAAUACAA